UUUUACAGUGCAGUGAGCAACAAGGGGCAGUGCCUGGCUAGGAGCAGCUCUCUGAUGCCCUUCUUUCUCCUUCUCAAAACCACAGACGACUCCCCGAGUGUAGUGCACCAACUACUACCUUACUGUGAGGGAAAAACUAUGUUUCCCUUCUGCUGCAAUCACUGAUUGCUUUUAGAAUAUUUGCUCCCAGGAGAAAUGUGUGACCAGUCAGGUUUAUAUUCCUGUUUUACCCUAAGAUUCUAAUGACUGAAGAGGGUAGGAAGUUUGCAAUAAUUCCAGUUACUUCUUCAAGUGCAGUUAUAUUAGAAAGCAGAUGUUUUAAAGUGCUAAGCUGAAUGGUGUGUAACAGUGUAAGGAGGAGAACUGUGCUUUUAAAGUAUGGAUACUUUUAUUUAUCUGCCAUUAGAUCUCACUGUACACAUUGAAGAUUUAUAUAUUAUAGAAUCGAUACUGGUCAACUCAUAUCAAAGUGUAAAAGUGGGUCACUAAAUUUAUAUACCAGUAAUCACCCAAGUUGAAAUUGAAUUUCCACUUGUAAUUCGCAUCACUCUAGAGACCUUUUAUUAAUGUCAGGAAAUUACUGUAAAAUAGAAUGAUCUAUGGUAGUGAUGGUCUCUUAACAAACAUGAGCCUUUUGUAUACAAAGACAUUUUGUAUGAUUUAAUUUUUUUCAUUUAGAAUACUGCAAUUCCAUAUGUUUGUGUGCUUAGUAAUCUUUUCCCUGAAAAGAGUAUUGAACAAAUCUACCAUUUGUGAACCAUCUACAUACUUUUCUUAUAAGUAGUUGUAAAGUAAGGAAUCAUAGCUGGGAAAUACUGUGGCUAGUUCUUUCAGAUACUGUAAAUGUCUUAUAAAAUAUUCUGAAUAGAAUAAUCUCUUUGCAGAAAUAUUAAUACCAUAUUUUCAUGUUCUAAUUAUGUUUAUUUAAAAACUUAGAAGUGGCAGAUGAAAAUAUUUAUUGGUGCUAAGACAUAUAGUAAGUUUAAUAUAAGAAACAUUUAUAAAGGUUAGGAAACAUAAAAUUAGUAUGUUUUAGUAAGGGCGAAGGGGUUGGGUUUUGUGUAAGCUGAUUGACUAACUUGGCCAAUGACAGUUACUGAAGGAAGUGGUGUACAUAGACUGUUGGGAGGUAGAAGUUGAAUGCCUUCAGCUGUAUAUAUUCAGUUCACUCAAGACCUGGAGCAUCCAAAGCAGAGCCAAACGAAAGCCCAGCGUGGAGCUUUGUAAACUGCUUUAUACUUCUGGAGCAGUAGUAGCUCUGACACAAGGUAACGGGCGUGAUCCCUUCCCCAUGCUGGAGUUCGUGGGUUUGGUCUGCUUACAUGUACCACUUCUGGGCACAUUAUCUACCCUUUCUCUUUACUCUCCCUGGUCCUGACCCCUCUCUGCAGUUUCCUAACUAGUCAUUGUACUUGAUGCACUAGUUUGAUCUACAGAAAUGCUGUUAUUGAUGUAUUUACAUAAGAAUCUAUAUUGCAGUAUAUCUAUAUAUACUUACAUAGUAUUGUUAAAUGUAUAUGUCUAACCCCCGGAGGGGUUUGUAAUCACUCUAAAGAUUCCUAGAGAAAAACCUGUUGGCCAUUUCCUAGGGAUUAAGCUCCUAUGUUCUUUCUGCGCCCUCUUUUGGCUAAUUGAUGUAAUUAUCCUGGCUCUUGAGGUUUUUACUAUCCUGUUAGUGGGUUGUAUAGCCAAUCUGUGAACAUGCCAGAGGUAUACAUGCCAGUGUAUACUUAUAGGAACAUAUGUAUAAAAGUGUAAAGUUUUAUAAAAAUUGAAAAUGAAUGUGUUAUUGUUGGUGAUGUUCCUUCUUGGUAAACUGCCUGGCUUCAUGUAUGUAUAUUCUUGUACACUUUUUACUGUCAGUCACAAAUUUCGAUUAGUUUAAGCUGUUUCAUGUAUUUUACUUUAAACCUUAUUUUGGCAACUUAUCUUGUUAGCAUUAUAAAAACUUACUUAAAAUACUAUUUUACUACAAAACAAAACAUUUAUUACAGUUGCUGUGGUAACUGUUAUUCGGUAUGUUUUACUAUUUUAAAAAGUACAUUUAAUUUUUUCAAUUCAAUUUUGGGAUUGUCCCCUUCCACACACACACAAAGGUUCAAUUACCUUAAAAUAAUUAGUAAUUGGUUAAUAAUAUUAUUUUUCUUUGCUUUUUAAAACGCUUGUCAAUGAGAGUUAACCCUGUAGAUUAUUCAAUAGCCUCUUUAUUUGUCCCUCUCAGUAACCAUGGGAAUAACUACCCAUGUGGGGUCUCAGGAAGCGAUGGAGCAAGGGCAACCCCUUCAUAUCUACAGUGCAUUGAAGUAUUUAUAAGCUUCCUGUUUAAUUUUAGCAAAAUGUGUGUUAAGUGACAUUUUUACAUUAGCAAAGUCACCUCAUGGGAUCCUGCAGUUAAAGUGUUAAGACGAGGCUGCAGAUACUUGGUAAACAAUUAGAAUUGGGCACGCAAGGUGGCUCCAUACAGAAAGGCAUUUGCUGUACACGGACCCACUUAGGUGAAGAAGGGGAAAAAAGCUCCUGGCUUCAUAGAGUUGUCCGCUGACCUCCACAAACAUGCCUUGUCAGUCACGCCCCUCCCCAUCAUCAUUGUUCAUUCAUCGCCUCACACACAGCACACACAAACGUUUCUGAUAUCCAAUUGGAUAAGCUUGAUGUAGGUAACAAAGGGCUGGGUUCAGAAUCUCCUAAGCAUUAAACAGUCUACUAAGGAGUCUUUGUUACCAGGCUUCCAUUUCAGAUUACUAAGCUAGCUGAUGUUACAUGAAAAUAAAAACCUAUUUUGUUUUAUAAUUUAUAUUUAAAAUGUUUUAGUUAACAUAAAAGCCAUUUAAAUUUGUAGCUAACAUAAGAUCCUGUUUUUCAGAAGACAAUUUACUUUUAAUAGUAAUAAAGUAGGGGCUGAUGUGUACCUCAAAAAUUAUAGUGCACAAGAUGCCCAGGAUUUAAUGCCAAGAACCAGGAAAAGACAAGAAGAGGAUGUAGACAGUAGCUACACACUAGAUGCAGAAGAGCUGAGUUGAACAUCUCAGAACGUUUCAUUAAUGUGCAGAAGUGGUUCCAUGAAGGACGGUGGCUCAUUCCAGCUAUUCUUAAUGAGACUUUGGGUUAUUUUCCUACAAGCAACUGUUUUGCUCGAGAGAUGUAUUAGUUCUAAACAGUAAUCACAAAGACUAAAAUUAAGAACACACUUCCUAACGGGAGAUACAAAUGAAUUUAGAUGAAAGCCACAUAGUUUUUGUGUUAGUUCAUGUGUAGUUUGAAUGUUCUUACAUGUAUUGC
rnacentral:lncRNA from 1 species